AUUGAACGCUGGCGGCAGGCCUAACACAUGCAAGUCGAGCGAGCGGCGGACGGGUGAGUAAUGUCUGGGAAACUGCCUGAUGGAGGGGGAUAACUACUGGAAACGGUAGCUAAUACCGCAUACCAUCAGAUGUGCCAAGAUGGGAAUAGCUAGUAGGUGGGGUAACGGCUCACCUAGGCGACGAUCCCUAGCUGGUCUGAGAGGAUGACCAGCCUCACGGGAACUGAGAGACGGUCCAGACUCCUUCGGGAGGCAGCAGUGGGGAAUAUUGCACAAUGGGCGCAAGCCUGAUGCAGCCAUGCCGCGUGUGUGAGGAGGGCCGUCGGGUUGUAAAGCACUUUCAGCGGGGAGGCGUUACCCGCAGAAGAAGCACCGGCAGACACCGUGCCAGCAGCCGCGGUAAUAC
rnacentral:rRNA from 1 species